UACGGAGGGAGCUAGCGUUGUUCGGAAUUACUGGGCGUAAAGCGUGCGUAGGCGGUUAUUCAAGUCAGAGGUGAAAGCCCGGGGCUCAACCCCGGAAUUGCCUUUGAGACUGCAUCGCUAGAAUUGUGGAGAGGUAAGUGGAAUUCCGAGUGUAGAGGUGAAAUUCGUAGAUAUUCGGAAGAACACCAGUGGCGAAGGCGACUUACUGGACACAUAUUGACGCUGAGGUGCGAAAGCGUGGGGAGCAAACAGG
rnacentral:rRNA from 1 species